GCUGAGAUGCCGGAGUCCGGUCAAUCGGGACUGUCUGUAAAACAGUCGCCUUUUUUGGCUACGGAGGUUCAAAUCCUCCUCUCAGCA
rnacentral:tRNA from 1 species